AUCUACUUAGAGAAUUUGUGCGCUUGGGAGU
rnacentral:misc_RNA from 1 species